rnacentral:rRNA from 1 species
GAUGAACGCUGGCGGCAUGCCUAAACAUGCAAGUCGAGCGGUAAGGCCCCUUCGGGGUACGACGAGCGGCGGGACGGGUGAGUAACGCGUGGGAAUCUACCCAAACUGAGGGAGUAAGCAUUGGAAACGAUGUCUAAUACCGCAUAUGGUCUUCGGAUUAAAGCUUCGGCGGUUUGGGAAGAGCCCGCGUAAGAUUAGCUAGUUGGUGAGGUAAAGGCUCACCAAGGCGACGAUCUUUAACUGGUUUGAGAGGAUGAUCAGUCACACUGGAACUGAGACACGGUCCAGACUCCUACGGGAGGCAGCAGUUAGGAAUUUUCCACAAUGGGCGAAAGCCUGAUGGAGCAAUGCCGCGUGCAGGAUGAAGGGCCCUAGGGGUUGUAAACUGCUUUUAUACGUGAAGAAUAUGAC